rnacentral:rRNA from 1 species
GACGAACGCUGGCGGCGUGCUUAACACAUGCAAGUCGAACGAUGAAGCCCAGCUUGCUGGGUGGAUUAGUGGCGAACGGGUGAGUAACACGUGAGUAACCUGCCCUUAACUCUGGGAUAAGCCUGGGAAACUGGGUCUAAUACCGGAUAGGAGCGUCCACCGCAUGGUGGGUGUUGGAAAGAUUUAUCGGUUUUGGAUGGACUCGCGGCCUAUCAGCUUGUUGGUGAGGUAAUGGCUCACCAAGGCGACGACGGGUAGCCGGCCUGAGAGGGUGACCGGCCACACUGGGACUGAGACACGGCCCAGACUCCUACGGGAGGCAGCAGUGAGGAAUAUUGCACAAUGGGCGCAAGCCUGAUGCAGCGACGCCGCGUGAGGGAUGACGGCCUUCGGGUUGUAAACCUCUUUCAGUAGGGAAGAAGCGAAAGUGACGGUACCUGCAGAAGAAGCACCGGCUAACUACGUG